GGCGGAAAGGCUUGCGUCGGGUUCGUUGGGUGCUGAUGGUUGUGAUAGUGAUGAAAGCGUUGGCGACAGGAGAGAGAUAGAGUUGUUGUAGGCAGCGGUGGUGGUGGUUGAGGGAGUUGUAAUGGUGGUUGUUGUAUUAGUAGUAGUUGUAGUAGUAAUGAUGAUGAUAAUAAUGAUGAUUUUCUUUUUUUCAGGUAUGAUGAUGAUGGUGAUUGGAAUGUCUUCUCUUUUUUGUGUGGACCUUCUACAUAGCACACAAAAGGACAAGGAGCACAGUGGAGAGGGGGAUUGGCCAGUGGAAGCGGAGAUUUCAUGUGCUCCAUGGUGAAAUCAGAGUCAGCCCUCCUGCAUAUGUGUGUAGAAUAAUACAGGUGUGUGCUAUUUUUGCACAACAUCUGCAAAGACAGACGCCUCCCUGUACCCGAGGAAGGAGAGGACGAGGGUGAUGGUGCAGUUCUUCAAGAGGACCCACCUGUCUCACUACCACCUGUACCUGGACGAGUUCGGGAAGGUCUGCUCUACAGGGAUGAGUUUGUCAACCUUCACUUCAUUGACAGACCUCAACCUCAGCCUCGUGCAGCUGUGUGAUGCUUCCCGACCCAUCAACAGGUUAAUUCCACACCUACUUCCAAGUAUGUGUGUUUGUAAUACAAUUGUGUGUGGAU